UACGAAGGGGGCUAGCGUUGCUCGGAAUGACUGGGCGUAAAGGGCGCGUAGGUGGCCUCAUAAGUCCGCUGUGAAAGUCAAAGGCUCAACCUUUGAAAGCCGGUGGAUACUGUGAGGCUAGAGUACGGAAGAGGCGAGUGGAAUUCCUGGUGUAGCGGUGGAAUGCGCAGAUAUCAGGAGGAACACCAAUAGCGAAGGCAGCUCGCUGGGACGUUACUGACACUGAGGCGCGAAAGCGUGGGGAGCGAACAGG
rnacentral:rRNA from 1 species